GUCCAGAUGGCUUAGUGGUCAGAGCAUCUGCCUAAUAAGCAGGAGACCCAGGUUCAAAUCCUAGUCCAGCACA
rnacentral:tRNA from 1 species